GAUCCUGGCUCAGGACGAACGCUGGCGGCGUGCUUAACACAUGCAAGUCGAACGGUGAUGUCAGAGCUUGCUCUGGCGGAUCAGUGGCGAACGGGUGAGUAACACGUGAGUAACCUGCCCCCGACUCUGGGAUAACUGCUAGAAAUGGUAGCUAAUACCGGAUAUGACGAUUGGCCGCAUGGUCUGGUCGUGGAAAGAAUUUCGGUUGGGGAUGGACUCGCGGCCUAUCAGGUUGUUGGUGAGGUAAUGGCUCACCAAGCCUACGACGGGUAGCCGGCCUGAGAGGUGACCGGCCACACUGGGACUGAGACACGGCCCAGACUCCUACGGGAGGCAGCAGUGGGGAAUAUUGCACAAUGGCGAAAGCCUGAUGCAGCAACGCCGCGUGAGGGAUGACGGCUUCGGGUUGUAAACCUCUUUUAGUAGGGAAGAAGCGAAAGUGACGGUACCUGCAGAAAAAGCACCGGCUAACUACGUGCCAGCAGCCGCGGUAAUACGUAGGGUGCAAGCGUUGUCCGGAAUUAUUGGGCGUAAAGAGCUCGUAGGCGGUUUGUCGCGUCUGCUGUGAAAUCCCGAGGCUCAACCUCGGGUCUGCAGUGGGUACGGGCAGACUAGAGUGCGGUAGGGGAGAUUGGAAUUCCUGGUGUAGCGGUGGAAUGCGCAGAUAUCAGGAGGAACACCGAUGGCGAAGGCAGAUCUCUGGGCCGUAACUGACGCUGAGGAGCGAAAGCAUGGGGAGCGAACAGGAUUAGAUACCCUGGUAGUCCAUGCCGUAAACGUUGGGAACUAGAUGUGGGACUAUUCCACGGUCUCCGUGUCGCAGCUAACGCAUUAAGUUCCCCGCCUGGGGAGUACGGCCGCAAGGCUAAAACUCAAAGGAAUUGACGGGGGCCCGCACAAGCGGCGGAGCAUGCGGAUUAAUUCGAUGCAACGCGAAGAACCUUACCAAGGCUUGACAUAUACCGGAAACAUGCAGAAAUGUGUGCCCCGCAAGGUCGGUAUACAGGUGGUGCAUGGUUGUCGUCAGCUCGUGUCGUGAGAUGUUGGGUUAAGUCCCGCAACGAGCGCAACCCUCGUUCUAUGUUGCCAGCACGUAAUGGUGGGAACUCAUAGGAGACUGCCGGGGUCAACUCGGAGGAAGGUGGGGAUGACGUCAAAUCAUCAUGCCCCUUAUGUCUUGGGCUUCACGCAUGCUACAAUGGCCGGUACAAAGGGCUGCGAUACCGUAAGGUGGAGCGAAUCCCAAAAAGCCGGUCUCAGUUCGGAUUGAGGUCUGCAACUCGACCUCAUGAAGUCGGAGUCGCUAGUAAUCGCAGAUCAGCAACGCUGCGGUGAAUACGUUCCCGGGCCUUGUACACACCGCCCGUCAAGUCAUGAAAGUCGGUAACACCCGAAGCCAGUGGCCUAACCGCAAGGGAGGAGCUGUCGAAGGUGGGAUCGGUGAUUAGGACUAAGUCGUAACAAGGUA
rnacentral:rRNA from 1 species